CCUACGGGUGGCUGCCGUGAGGAAUAUUGGUCAUUGGGCGCGAGCCUGAACCCGCCAAGUAGCGUGAAGGAUGACUGCCCUACGGGUUGUAAACUUCUUUUAAGGGGGAAGAGCAGGAGACGGUACCCCUUGAAUAAGCCACGGCUAACUACGUGCCAGCAGCCGCGGUAAUCCGUAGGUGGCAAGCGUUGCCCGGAGUUACUGGGUGUAAAGGGCGUGCAGCGGGAGAGACAAGUCAGAUGUGAAAUCCACGGGACCAACCCGUGAACUGCAUUUGAAACUGUUUCCCUUGAGUGUCGGAGAGGUAAUCGGAAGUCCUUGUGGAGCGGUGAAAGGCGUAGAUAUAAGGAAGAACACCAGUGGCGAAGGCGGAUUACUGGACGAUAACUGACGGUGAGGCGCGAAAGCGUGGGGAGCAAACAGGAUUAGAUACCCGAGUAGUC
rnacentral:rRNA from 1 species